rnacentral:rRNA from 1 species
AAUAUUGGACAAUGGGGGGAACCCUGAUCCAGCCAUGCCGCGUGUGUGAAGAAGGCCUUUUGGUUGUAAAGCACUUUACGCGCGGAGGAGGAGCUCUUGGUUAAUACCCAAGAUGCUUGGACGUUACUCGCAGAAUAAGCACCGGCUAACUCUGUCCCAGCAGCCGCGGUAAUACAGAGGGUGCAAGCGUUAAGCGGCUUUACUGGGCGUAAAGCGCGCGUAGGGGGCAAAUUAAGUCAAAUGUGAAAUCCACGAGCGUAACUUGGGAAUUGCAUGCGAUACUGGUGGGCUAGAGGAUGGGAGAGGAUGGUAGAAUUCCAGGUGUAGCGGUGAAAUGCGUAGAGAUCGGGAGGAAUACCGAUGGCGAAGGCAGCCAUCUGGCCUAAUACUGACACUGAGGUGCGAAAGCAUGGGGAGCAAACA